rnacentral:rRNA from 1 species
AGUGAACGCUGGCGGUAGGCCUAACACAUGCAAGUCGAACGGCAGCACAGAGAAGCUUGCUCCUUGGGUGGCGAGUGGCGGACGGGUGAGGAAUACAUCGGAAUCUACUCUGUCGUGGGGGAUAACGUAGGGAAACUUACGCUAAUACCGCAUACGACCUACGGGUGAAAGCAGGGGAUCUUCGGACCUUGCGCGAUUGAAUGAGCCGAUGUCGGAUUAGCUAGUUGGCGGGGUAAAGGCCCACCAAGGCGACGAUCCGUAGCUGGUCUGAGAGGGUGAUCAGCCACACUGAAACUGAGACACGGUCCAGACUCCUACGGGAGGCAGCAGUGGGGAAUAUUGGACAAUGGGCGCAAGCCUGAUCCAGCCAUACCGCGUGGGUGAAGAAGGCCUUCGGGUUGUAAAGCCCUUUUGUUGGGAAAGAAAUCCAUCUGGUUAAUACCCGGGUGGGAUGACGGUACCCAAAGAAUAAGCACCGGCUAACUUCGUGCCAGCAGCCGCCGUAA